CUCAUUAUCAGUGAGACUACUGAGUGACAGCACAUUCCUAGGUUUUAUUGGAGACUCCGCUUGCGAGAUUUAAAACGAGGAUGGAGGCUUGUUAGACGGAUUUCAAGCUGAGUUACAGUUAAGACUCGGAGGAUUUAAAGCAGAAUUGAUGCAAAAUGUACAAAAAAUGCCUCCACACAAAAACCCCAGAAGAAUGUGCCCGUGACCCAGAGGGAUUUCACAGUGGAAGACAGCAAAGUUACUACUGUACAUAUUUUGACAUGCACACACAAAAAAAAAACGCUCAAGCAUUUUGGAAAGUAACCGAAAACACUAAUUUCGUACAGUACAUCAAAAACGAAAGCCCCGGAAAAAAAAAACAACGAUUUACAUAAAACUCGAAAACAGCUAAAAAAAAAAAAAGCACCGAAAAAUACAAUUAAUAAAAUAUUAAUAAAACCCCCAAAAACCGAAGCCCGAGAUAUAAUGCAUCUCAGCAAACUGCAGAAGAGGAAGUGAAAAUCGAACACAUUUCAUAACAUGUCCUACACAAAGAGGAAGUGAAAGACUGGACAGCAGCUCACAGGACCCCCAUGCCCAAUUCAAAUGUAACUCCUGACGUUAGCAUGAUUUCCACGGGACUAAAAAUCACAAUCAGGUGGUUUUUGAAUUUUUACCGACCCCUGCGCUGACUCGGGAGAGCAAAGACGAAUGUUACGAAGGACAAUUAAGUCAAAAGCAAAAGCGCACGGGAAUGUCCUUGGUUUGUACAAGAUGCCCAGAAAUGUGACAAACCCCCGACCGACGCACAAACGGCAGCGCAGCGCGGACAAUAAAGUCAUCAAUCUGGGACAGGAGUGGGACAGAGCUGAAACGGAUCCACGGCAAUGUCCCUCCUGUGUGAAGUUACCAAGCAGCCCAGCUCGGACAGACGAACUUGGACAAAAAUACUGAAAAUAUAUAUAUUUUUUAAAAAAGUUAAAUAUAAAAAAUGUCUGAAUUAUUGGAAUGGUUCAAAAACAACAUUAUUUGUUUAUUAGCAGACACCUUUAUCCAAGGCGACUUACAGAGGCUAGGGUGUGUGAACUAUGCAUCAGCUGCAGAGUCACUUACAACUACGUCUCACCCGAAAGACGGAGCACAAGGAGGUUAAGUGACUUGCUCAGGGUCACACAAUGAGUCAGUGGCUGAGGUGGGAUUUGAACCGGGGACCUCCUGGUUACAAGCCCUUUUCUUUAACCACUGGACCCCGAUAUAUAUAUCGGGCAGCAGUGUGGAGUAGUGGUUAAGGCUCUGGACUCUUGACCGGAGGGUUGUGGGUUCAAUCCCAGGUGGGGGACCGCUGCUGCUGUACCCUUGAGCAAGGUACUUUACCUCGAUUGCUCCAGUAAAAACCCAACUGUAUAAAUGGGGAAUUGUAUGCAAAAAUAAUGUGAUAUCUGUAUAAUGUGAAAUAAUGUGAUAUCUUGUAACAAUUGUAAGUCGCCCUGGAUAAGGGCGUCUGCUAAGAAAUAAAUAAUAAUAAUGAAACAACACAA